ACCCUGUUGAGCUUGACU
rnacentral:ncRNA from 2 species